rnacentral:rRNA from 1 species
AUGCGCCGCUUCAAAAGGAGGAGUCGAGCUGGUUGGAUGUCCAUGGAGAGGAGCACUCCUGAAGGUAUCAACAUGGAGGAACAUGCUUCGAGGUUUCGGCCUCUGCCCCCACCCAAAUGGACGGGUGACUUUGACAUCGCUUCCAUCGGAAUUCCACCUGUAAUGCGAAAGAGGAAACCUCCGGAGGUGAGGAACGCGCUGCGCGAAAGAAGAGUCGCGGCCAAACAAAAGGAUGCGCGCUACCACGCGGAGGUGGCCCUGCGUAAAUACAACAGAGCGAACAACACCAAGUAUGAGCUGGUGGAGGUAAAAGUGAUAUCCAUAUUUUACGAGUUUGGAGGGGGCGGCGCCCAUUAUAACUUCACAGCUAAGCAGCCUGAGGACCAGCAGAAUGCUGAUGCCGACAGUACCAAGCUAUUCUUCUCUGAAGUCGACCUCUAUUUCCGGAGUGAGAAUGAUGUGAUUAUGUGCUGUAUAGUUGGAGAAAAUGAUGCAGGGCGCUGCUAUGGAUGCGAAAACUACCAGCCUGUUGUUCACCCAAGCAGCCAAGCAUAUGGCGGCGGUAGUAGUACUUGUAUUGACUAUCCUGGUUCGGAUGGCGAUAGCGACAGCGACUAG